rnacentral:rRNA from 1 species
AUUGAACGCUGGCGGCAGGCUUAACACAUGCAAGUCGAGCGGGGUGAUGGUGCUUGCACUAUCACUUAGCGGCGGACGGGUGAGUAAUGCUUAGGAAUCUGCCUAUUAGUGGGGGACAACAUUUCGAAAGGAAUGCUAAUACCGCAUACGUCCUACGGGAGAAAGCAGGGGAUCUUCGGACCUUGCGCUAAUAGAUGAGCCUAAGUCGGAUUAGCUAGUUGGUGGGGUAAAGGCCUACCAAGGCGACGAUCUGUAGCGGGUCUGAGAGGAUGAUCCGCCACACUGGGACUGAGACACGGCCCAGACUCCUACGGGAGGCAGCAGUGGGGAAUAUUGGACAAUGGGCGGAAGCCUGAUCCAGCCAUGCCGCGUGUGUGAAGAAGGCCUUAUGGUUGUAAAGCACUUUAAGCGAGGAGGAGGCUACUUUAGUUAAUACCUAGAGAUAGUGGACGUUACUCGCAGAGUAAGCACCGGCUAACUCUGUGCCAGCCGCCGCGGUAAAAC